ACCCGCUGAACUUAAGCAUAUCAAUAAGCGGAGGAAAAGAAACCAACCGGGAUUACCUCAGUAACGGCGAGUGAAGCGGUAACAGCUCAAAUUUGAAAUCUGGCGUCGUUAUGGCGUCCGAGUUGUAAUUUGUAGAAGAUGCUUUGGGUUGCGGGCCCGGCCUAAGUUCCUUGGAACAGGACGUCAUAGAGGGUGAGAAUCCCGUCUGCGGCCGUGGCUCCUGCGCCCGUGUAAAGCUCUUUCGACGAGUCGAGUUGUUUGGGAAUGCAGCUCAAAAUGGGUGGUAAAUUUCAUCUAAAGCUAAAUAUGGGCCAGAGACCGAUAGCGCACAAGUAGAGUGAUCGAAAGAUGAAAAGCACUUUGGAAAGAGAGUUAAACAGUACGUGAAAUUGUUGAAAGGGAAGCGCUUGCAACCAGACUUGGACGCUACUGAUCAUCUAGGGUUUUCCCUGGUGCACUCGGCAGCGGACAGGCCAGCAUCGGUUCGAGUGGCUGGAGAAAGGUUGUAGGAACGUAGCUCCUCUCGGGGAGUGUUAUAGCCUACGGCGCAAUGCAGCCCAGUCGGACCGAGGAACGCGCCUUCGGGCUAGGAUGCUGGCGUAAUGGUUGUAAGCGACCCGUCUUGAAACACGGACCAAGG
rnacentral:rRNA from 1 species